GCCAGGCUGGCUUUCUACGGUGGGCUUAAACCCUGCGCACACCAGUGUUCCCGAGAAGUCCCCGCUCCUGUGGCAGGCUGCGUUGCGCGGAUCUCAAACCACUUUGCAGGCGGAAAGAAAUGAGAUGGGGAGGGGAAAAAAAAAAAACAACACCACACCAAAAAAAAAACCAACCCCAAACCUAUAUUGUUUAAGGGGGAAGAAACAGGCAGCUAGCGACGCGUGCUGUCCUUCAGAAAUGGCAGGGAAUGCUGGUUUAAAGGAUGCAUGAAAAUCGGUUGCUCAGUCAAGGCUGGUCUGUCUCUCUAAGGGAGGAAAUAAAACUGUGCUGGAAGCCAGGGAAUGCUCUGAAGCAGCCUCUGCGAGAGUCAGAAGAGGGUGAUUUUAUUUAAGAUGCCAUAUUGCAUUUCGCUGUGGAGAACUGUGAAGUGAUUUAGAGCAAGAGCCUGCAUCCCACUCCCUUUUUCUGAAUUAGUUUUAUUUAUCUGGAUCCUUGGCAUAUGCUUGAGUUGCUUUGUAGAAAGUACCUUCCACUUCAUUCAGACCAAAGAGGCUCUGACUCAUACCGUCACUGAACUACAAGACAGGCAGGGCUGAACCACGCAUGUUUGGGUACUGACUCCCUCUGGAUUCCUCAGCACUGGUUUUAUCAAAGAUCUCUUCGCAUCUCUCCCAGCUGUAUGCAGACCACUAUGAGCCUCUCCCCCCGCCCACUAUGGCAACUUACACUUCCCUGGCACUCCAGCGCAGCUUGUUACUCUCUUACUUCUCUCAACACAGGUCUCUGCUCUGCAAGUGCCAUAAACUGCAGUGAUGGGCAAGUAACAAGCACAGAUGCAUAACAGAGACCAGAGAAAAUACCCUCCUUCUGGACUGUCUCAGUCUGCUAUUCAAGUGGAAAAAAAAAACAAACUCAACUUAUUAAGGGAGGUACAACUUAGAGAAAAAAAACAACUUAUGGAAGCAAUGAAUGCAGCCCAGAGUAAGGAAAGGACAGCAGGCUGCUAUACUUGCAUGCAACCUGACAGUGGUACAUAAGAAGCCAGUCACUGAUUUGGCAUCAGAAAAAGUAGUAGAGCACAGAGAAGGCUUCUCCCCACCCCAAGGACAUUGCAAAAAGUGUUGUAUAAAUACCAAAGGCUGUUCAGCUUCCAUGGAGCUGGAUGCUGUGCGGUCACAGGCCUCAGAAAGGCCUGAGAUGUGCACUCCAUGUGACAUGGCCAUCCCGACCAGGCCAUUUAUUGCAGCUUGUAUGAAUUUACCACAACAGUAUGCUCCAAGCUACCUGGUUUCUAGUGCAGUUCAGGUUCACUAUGAAAACCAGCAGGAUAUUCUGCUCUAGGAGUGGUCUGGGGACAGAAGAAGCAACAGGCUAAGAUGUCUGGACAAACGUGCCACUCAGCACUACAAGACAGUGAAUCUACAGCAGCAAAGCAGAUGGCAAAAUUAUAUUCACCCAGCUAAUGUAAGGUUCAUUGAUUUAAUAAAAGGAACCAAGGGAGAGAGACAAAGACUGGAGAUUACUGAAAAUCAAGUGAAAGCCCUGGAGAAAUUCAAACCUAUCAUCAAGGUUCAGUUCUGAGUACACGGCAUUCUCCUGUCUGCCACCUUUUUUAUUCCAGUAGUACAGAGUGUUACCUCAGGAGAAAGGAAUCUUUCCUUCUCAAACGUUCACCUUGCCAAGAGGUGUGGCACACGCAGAGAAAGAGAAGCCACAUUCAUGCUGAAGCAAGCUUUGGGCAACUUUCCCUUCUGCAGCAGGCUCAUGUAAGAGGCUUGUGUGUUCCUCCACUCUGUGGCCAUGGUGUUUGCCUCAGGACCCUCAUUUUUUGCCACAGUCCAGGCUCUAGGCUUUUACAUCUUUGUCUGUGUUUCUGCUUCAGAGUAGUAAAUAGAUUCCCAAAAUGUAGGUCCACUGUAAGUCAAAGCAAUAGUUUUCCUGAGCCAGCAGGCAGCCUUAGCCCAUUGGCUCUGGAAAGUGCCACAACCGCCACCAGCCACGUCAGGUGAAUAAGCCAUUCUCAGCUCCUUUUUGACUUGAUAUAUAACAGGUGAGGGAUGAGGGUACUAUGCCUCUGCAAACAUUGACUGACCUAUGGGACAUACAACUGUGUCAUAAGAUGUCCUUGUGCCUCUGCAUCUCCCCUGCUGAGGGCCUACACUGGGCCUCAAUAUAUUCCCUCCACAGAGAAUUCCACAAAAUGUGGAGGUGCUGAUGAAAGCAGUGAGUGGGACACAAGAACCCACAUCAACUCGAGCAUUUUUAUUUACUGCUGGUGAUAUGCUGAAACUGAUAUGACCCCCAGUGGAAUACGGUAUUUACCAAAAGACAUUAAACAAUUUUACAUGCAAGAUGCACACUGUGUAGAAGAAACUAUGUUUCAAUUGACUAGUUGUAGUGUGUCAUCUACACUGCACACUUUAUACCAUUAAUAGUACUUACGGAAAAUGAAAGAAUAAGAGGUUGGAAUUAUUUUUUUGUUAAACAUUCAUAUUCAGGGAAAUCCAGGGAUUGACAAUGUAUUGAGCAUGAAAAGUAAUUUCGCAAUUAUUGAUCGUUACAGUCCAAGUCUCCAAUCUGUCAUAAAAUGACAUUGUUGGUCUCAUUACAGCCUCUAGUGGACAGCAGUAAUCCACUUCACAGACCUGUCAUACCAUUUGCUCAAAUGACAAGCGUUAUCAAGGCAGAGGUUACUCCAAGAGAGCAUGAGCAUACAAGUCAUUCUCAUCCCCUGGCAAAGAGGAUUUUUGAAUACAAUCAAAGGUUUGAUGUCAUUGCUCGUAAGGUGCCUUGCUUUACUCUUCAGGUAUUAGCAUUGGCCUGUAAAUAAACAGGGAACUUCUGCUAUUCAUUUCAGCUUCUGACAGCUUUCAUAAAAACUAAAUUCAUCUCAAAUAUUUUUAUAACAGAAAAUAUUGGUUGCCAUGUUUUUGGCUUAAGUAAGAUGUUUUUAUUCCAACUCAGAAUCUGCCGACUGUCCAAUUCACCUCCUAUCUAUUUAUAGCCCUCUUGCAUUCAGAUAAGUUUUGCUAAUGCAGUUAUUUUCAUUAUUAUUUCAGACAUAUGCAGCUGAUUUAAGGUAUUUUAACAGCUUUAACAAAUGAGAAACUAUAAUUUGGAUUGCAGCUGGCUAAUUAAGGUAUGCUUUCCUCAGGAAAGUUAAAAAUGUACACAAUCUGAAGAAUAAUGUAUUUGGACUGCAUUCUUUAAGUGCCACUUGUGUGAACAUAAUAAAAUAUGACUAA